CAUAAUGGUAGACAUAAAGGUAGACAUAAAGGUAGACAUAAAGGUAGAUAUAAAGGUAGACAUAAAGGUAGACAUAAAGGUAGACAUAAAGGUAGACAUAAACGUAGAACAUAAAAG